CCUGGCUACGCAAGCAUCCGCGUAGAGCAAAUAGUUGAUAGCCAGUAUGAAGGUCUAGAGCUCGACCUCCCGGGAGGCGACGGGGAAAAGACAUUGGCAGAUGCGCUUCAUGGGAUCAUUCUAUGGCGAAAACGCUACAUCAUUAUUCCCGGCACGGAGCCAUCUCCUCAGAGCUCAAGACCGCUCCCCGUAGAUCCCCAGCAGCGACCUUCUCCUCAUACCUCGAGACCGUCAUCUCCUGCUCCAGGACCGUCCCUUCCAUCUAUAUCAAGGUCUCCAUCUCCACCACAUCCUGGUGCUGGGAGCGAUGACGACAAUA
rnacentral:lncRNA from 1 species